AUUGAACGCUGGCGGCAGGCCUAACACAUGCAAGUCGAGCGGAUGAAGGGAGCUUGCUCCUGGAUUCAGCGGCGGACGGGUGAGUAAUGCCUAGGAAUCUGCCUGGUAGUGGGGGAUAACGUCCGGAAACGGGCGCUAAUACCGCAUACGUCCUGAGGGAGAAAGUGGGGGAUCUUCGGACCUCACGCUAUCAGAUGAGCCUAGGUCGGAUUAGCUAGUUGGUGGGGUAAAGGCCUACCAAGGCGACGAUCCGUAACUGGUCUGAGAGGAUGAUCAGUCACACUGGAACGGAGACACGGUCCAGACUCCUACGGGAGGCGGCAGUGGGGAAUAUUGGACAAUGGGCGAAAGCCUGAUCCAGCCAUGCCGCGUGUGUGAAGAAGGUCUUCGGAGUGUAAAGCACUUUAAGUUGGGAGGAAGGGCAGUAAGUUAAUACCUUGCUGUUUUGACGUUACCAACAGAAUAAGCACCGGCUAACUUCGUG
rnacentral:rRNA from 1 species